AGGGUGAGUGAUACUUGAUAUUCUGCUUGCUGCUCCAGAGUAAACUGACAUGAAGUAAAAUUAGAGGAGCCAACAAGCGUGGUUUGAAAUUGUCAUCACUUAACCAGAAAUUUACAAAUUCAGUUGAUACCUCCAUCUUUCAAGAUGCCUCAGCCACAAAUUGUUUCCCUAUUAGUGAUGUCACUUGCGGUACGAUGCCUAGGUAUGUUGACACUUCAUUCUUAUCGCCUACGCAUAAUGUGUUACAAGUCUUAUCAGAUGCCUCGAGCUGA